AGAUCCAUUGGUGGGGCGGAGGCUGUGGCGUCCAGCGGCGGCAAUGGGGGCGGCGGCGCCCAGGUUUCUCCCUCCAUCUCUCUCUCACCGCCGUCGCCGUGGCCCAGGUCCUCCCUGGCGUGUUCUCUCUCAUGGCCCUGUGAGAGAUACCUCUUGCAGCUGCUGCUCGAGAUAAGAGAAAAGAUGCAAGUUUAGGUGCACAUCUGCCUAGAGUUCUCUCUUAUUUGUGUUUGUUCAUCUCCAAUUCUAGGUUCAUAUUAGUACUCCACUAGCUUGUGCGACUUGCCACACUGAGACAUGGAAGACCAUCAGGAAAAUCAGCGCACUCUAGCCGUGGCUAUGAUGCAUAUCUCUCUGCAAAAUUCGAGAUAAGUUUCCUUUUCAGGUGUAUUUGAUUAAUUUGCCCUACGAGUACAUAUUUAAUUUUUUUGAAGUACCAUUAAUUUGUUCCUAUCAAAAGUGUGUAACGAGGCUGGAGCUAUGUAUGCACCAUGUUCUGUUUAACUUUGUUUGCAGCUUAAAGUUUACAUAGUUUCGUUGAUAAUUGUAUGUAUGAUCUUGCUCAUCUUCUAAAAGCAAUCACCAAAUAGCCAUUUUAAUUUCCUACAUGUUCCAUCCAAAAUCUAUUUGCUAAAAAUUAUCAGUGGCUAGCAACCAGCACGCCAAAACAGAACUGUAAUAACCGGAUCUUAAACUUCAGUUGUGCCCGCAUAUGUGUCGUAACUGUAGCCUAAUAGCUUCAUGGGCUCUAUUUCUGCUGCGAGACCAGGAGACUACGCUACAUGUGAUUCUUUCAAAUCAAUUGAAAGUUAAGUAGGAGUUUGCUGCUGAUCAUUAAACAAUCGCAUUUUCCUAAAAAUAAUGUUCUAUUCUAAUCCAUUUCAUGGUACUGUAGGAGACGCUGUUUUUUGAAUGGCUCUUUUAAUUGCUGCACUUUUUAGCAUAUGAUUUACUUAUAUACACAAAUUAUUGUGUUUUGUAUAGGACUUAAAUCUCGGGAAGCAUAAGUGUCUCAAAGGGAGUUUUAGGCACAAGCUGUUCAAGAAUAUGGCCCAUUGGCGCAUUCUUCUCUCGGGCACCUUUGCUCUUUGGGGUUGCACGCUACCGCAGCGUGGAUGUUGCCUUGAAGCUUCGCAAGACCAGCGACAAAAUGGAAGAUUGUUUCAAUUUGAUUCUUUCCAUCAACCAGUUAAACAAGAUCCGCAGAGAUGUUACCAAGGUAAAUUCUCUCAUAUGAUCCUCUCAGGCCAGCCAAUCCACAGUAGUUGACACAUCUUAAUAACCAAUUAGUCAAGAAAGAAGUUCCUACCAUGUUGCCAACUCAUGCCAAAUUUACUACACCAAUUUGGGAGAGUAAAUGUUGCCGGCAGCACGGUAUGGCCAGACCAUGUAGUGCAUCUGUCAUAGAGUUGGUCCUCUGUGCAUGAACAUUCAAAAGAAACUUGGUAGCGACAGUAAGUAGUUGCCUACUUCAUUGUGAGUUUUUACCAGAUAGUCAGUUUAUUUAGUUUUAUAUUUCCAGUACUCUGUUCUCGUGGAGUCCAUUUGGCAUUCCUGUCAUGUCACAGGCCUUGCCAGAAAUUAUAUUGUACAUACAGUUUGUAUUGCCAUUAAGCUGUUU